UACAGAGGUCUCAAGCGUUGUUCGGAUUCAUUGGGCGUAAAGGGUGCGUAGGUGGCGCUGUAAGUCAGGCGUGAAAGUCCUGGGCUCAACCUGGGAACUGCGCUUGAUACGGCAGAGCUAGAGGAUGGAAGAGGCUCGCGGAAUUCCCAGUGUAGAGGUGAAAUUCGUAGAUAUUGGGAAGAACACCGGUGGCGAAGGCGGCGAGCUGGUCCAUUACUGACGCUGAGGCGCGACAGCGUGGGGAGCAAACAGG
rnacentral:rRNA from 1 species